rnacentral:lncRNA from 10 species
AUGACUCUUAACGAGCAUGCUGCCUUCAAGCAUCUGUUUAACAAAGCACAUCUUGCACCGCCCUUAAUCCAUUUAACCCUGAGUGGACACAGCACAUGUUUCAGAGAGCACAGGGUUGGGGAUAAGGUCACAGAUCAACAGGAUCCCAAGGCAGAAGAAUUUUUCUUAGUACAGAACAAAAUGAAAAGUCUCCCAUGUCUACUUCUAUCCACACAGACCCGGCAACCAUCCGAUUUCUCAAUUUUUUCCCCACCCUUCCCGCCUUUCUAUUCCACAAAACCGCCAUUGUCAUCAUGGCCCAUCCCCAAUGAGCCGCUGGGCACACCUCCCAGACGGGGUUGUGGCCGGGCAGAGGGGCUCCUCACUUCCCAGUAG